GCGAUAUGAUGAUAGAAAUUCACUGUCUAUCAAUUCACUGAUAUUCUUUGAUGUAAUUCAUGAAUCCCGACAGGUUCUGAUCGC